rnacentral:rRNA from 1 species
CCUACGGGGGGCAGCAGUGGGGAAUAUUGCGCAAUGGGCGAAAGCCUGACGCAGCGACGCCGCGUGAGGGAUGAAGGUCUUCGGAUCGUAAACCUCUGUCAGCAGGGAAGAACGGGCACUGUGCUAAUCAGCAGUGAAUUGACGGUACCUGCAAAGGAAGCACCGGCUAACUCCGUGCCAGCAGCCGAGGUAAUACGGAGGGUGCGAGCGUUAAUCGGAAUUACUGGGCGUAAAGCGCGCGUAGGCGGUAUGUCAAGUCAAGGGUGAAAUCCCCGGGCUCAACGUGGGAACUGCCUUUGAAACUGGCAAACUGGAGUGUGUGAGAGGAUAGUGGAAUUCCAGGUGUAGGAGUGAAAUCCGUAGAUAUCUGGAGGAACAUCAGUGGCGAAGGCGACUAUCUGGAACAUAACUGACGCUGAGGAGCGAAAGCGUGGGUAGCAAACAGGAUUAGAUACCCGAGUAGUC